UACAGAGGAUGCAAGCGUUGUCCGGAAUCACUGGGCGUAAAGGGCGCGUAGGUGGCGCGGGCAGUCAACGGUGAAAGUUCGGGGCUCAACCCUGAAUCGGCCGUCGAUACUCCCGUGCUUGAGCACUGUAGAGGCAGAUGGAAUUCCGGGUGUAGCGGUGGAAUGCGUAGAGAUCCGGAAGAACACCGGUGGCGAAGGCGGUCUGCUGGGCAGUAGCUGACACUGAGGCGCGACAGCGUGGGGAGCAAACAGG
rnacentral:rRNA from 1 species